rnacentral:sRNA from 1 species
GUUUGUGGUAAUUUAAUAAAAGCAGUCAGGAUAUGCCAAGCAAACAGUUCACCUUUAGGACUUCUUUGUUUUGAGCAGUUUGCUUUUGUUUCAAAGGACUUUGUUUCCGGAAGAACAAAACAACCGGAUGAUGCGUAUAAUUUUUAAGGAGGUACUGGUUCAUGACUGGUACAGUAAAGUGGUUCAAUGCUCAGAAGGGCUAUGGUUUCAUCAGCAAUGAGGAAGGCGGCGAGGACGUUUUCGUACAUUUCUCCGCUAUUCAGGCUGACGGCUACAAGACGCUUGAGGAAGGCCAGAAGGUUUCCUUCGAGACCGAGCAGGAUCCUAAGGAUUCCAGAAAGCUCAGAGCUAUCAACGUAACGGCUCUGUAAUUGAA